AAAUUGUUCUGGACUUAUUUAAUAAACAUCUUAGUCUAAAAUAUUUAGUAAAGUCUUAUACUUGCAACAGUUAAUAACUGUGUCCCAAAACACUUUUCAAAUCGAACAAAUAAAAAAAAUAUAUUUAAAAAGCAAUCAACAUGAGUGAAGGCAAAAGUUUAUUGUCCACCUUCGCCAUCUUGGCCGUUUUGUUGACUUUCUUGUACAUUUUGUACGCUCUCUUCUAGACGGAAAGAACAUUUAUUUAAUGAUGACAACAAUUACAUUAAUUAGUUUAUAGACGUUUUUAAAUUUAGCAAUAUCUUCCACACGAUUAGUAAAUGAAAAAAACAUCCCUUUUUCAAAAUGAAUGAAGCCAAAAGUUUAUUCACCACCUUUGUCAUCCUUGCUCUUUUGUUGUCAUUAUUGUAUAUUUUCUACGAAAUGGCUUUCUAAACAAAAACAAAUUUCUAACGUUUAUUUAAGUUAAUUAAUUAAUUUUCUUAAUAACACCAACAAAAAAAAAUCAUGUCUUAAAAUAAUGUUUUUAUUAUAAUUACAACAAAAAAAUGUAACCGUUGCCUUUAUAUCGAAAAGAAAAAAAAUGAAAAUAUUCCAAAUAUUGCCGUAAAAUUUAAGAAGAGAAACAUAAGCAGCUAGUAAUCGUAAUGGAUUUUAUUCUAACAACAAAAACACUAUUAGCUUUAUAAGGAGAAAACAACAAACAAACAAAAUUAAAGUUGACGUCAUGACAGUUGCUUUGUAUUGCUGUAGCUUAAUAUGCCAAAAUGAAAUUAAAAGCUUUUGAGGUCAACUUUAUGUAGGACUUUUACUAUUAUUUUUAUAUUUCUUUAUUUUUUACUAAAUUUAGUAUGUUAUACUAAAAAUAAUUGACUUUUUGUACAAGUCUUUGCUGUUUUUUUUAUUAGAAUUAGUUUAUAUUUUUAUGAAAUACAUCAAACCAAAAUGCCUUUUA